rnacentral:rRNA from 1 species
UACGUAGGGGGCAAGCGUUGUCCGGAUUUAUUGGGCGUAAAGCGCGUGUAGGUGGCCAUGUAGGUCCGCUGUGAAAACUUGAGGCUCAACCUCAAGCUGUCGGUGGAAACCACAUGGCUAGAGUCCGGAAGAGGAGAGUGGAAUUCCUGGUGUAGCGGUGAAAUGCGCAGAUAUCUGGAGGAACACCGGUGGCGAAGGCGG